GGCACCUGGACGCUCAGUCUACGGCGCCACGCUAGCUCGCACUCUGACCUGAGGGAGAGAGUGAUUGGAGGGCCCUUAACUGAAGACUACAAGACAUUCAGGGGACUCCUACCCUGAAGAGGCAGAACCAUCCCUCCAUGUAAGUGCCACGGAGUGAUCCCUGAGCCUUGGGUCUCCUGGGACGCCUGUGCUUCCGCCAUCAGGAUGACUCGUCCCUGAAAUCCACCUUCUAGUCUUUGUCACUUCAGCCUGAGGCUAGGACACUUUCAAAUCACACAAGCCUUGGGGAGGAUGAACACUUUCAAGUUGUCUUCAGUUGACAUUCAUCCAUUUCUUCACCAGUGUUGGCUGAGCAUCCGUCGUGAGGAAGCACAUCAGAGUUGCCCAGUCGCUUUCAGAUCCACUGUCUUCUCUGAUCUUCAGAUUAUCUUUUGAGGCACAUGUGGCACGGAUAUCAUGCUGUUGUCAUAGAGACGCAAAGCAGAGUUAUUGCCUGAGUUGACCACAGCUAGUGUGAGCCAGACUUGAAGGAAGAUGUCGGCAGACAACAGCAAUAGGAGGUGGUGAGAGCCUGGGGGGACCUGGCAGCGUAUCAGCAGCAGCUACUUACAUCUCAGAAGCUGAGGCUUCUUCCUGCUGCCACUUUGCACAGCAUGGCUGAUGAAAGGAUGUCCAGAUGAUGAGAAAGCGAGGGGUCAGAAGAUCGAGAUUCUCCGGCUGGACUGAGGAUGCUGUUGAUGCUUUCAAACGCUCCACUCUCUGCCCUGCCUUCCCUUCUUGCUCCCUGUCCUUCUCCUGUUUGAUCCUGGCUGUACCCCUUCUACAGCUCCUUGUCCACUGCACACUAGGACAGUCUAGACAUUCAGUCAUUCAACAAACAUCUAUUGGGUUUAACCAUGUCCUCUGCACUGUGUUAGAUGGUGGCUAUAGAGUAGUGAAGAGACAAGAUGCUGGCUCACAUGGAGCUUCUAGGCCAGCAGAGCAGUUAGAUCCUGAACUAAUACCUCUAUGUUUCACAAGGUGGAAGAGUUCUUUACCAGAAUUCCAGAGAGCUGUUUCCUGUCAGGGAAGAGCCUCAGCAAGGUAGACUGGCUUCCACAUCCAGGGCUGAGUGUAGGAGGGAGGGUCCCAAGCAGAGAAGUGACACGGAGGGCAGCAUGGAAGAGGAAGCACAAGGGCAGUCAAGAGACCUGGGGAAAGGAGAGAGAACUUUUGUAGCUGCCUGAAGUGAGAAAUUUUAAGGAGACAGACAAAUAUCCAAAGUGUCUUUUUGGAAAGCUGUCUGCAGGAAGCACUAUAGAAAACCCCUGGGCUUUAAAGUAAAGCAAAUAAAAGUUGUUGUUUUCAAAAUUACUCUUCAGGAUUUUAAUAGCGG
ensembl:lncRNA